rnacentral:rRNA from 1 species
AACUGCGAGUGAAGCGGGAAAAGCUCAAAUUUAAAAUCUGGCGGUCUUUGGCCGUCCGAGUUGUAAUUUAGAGAAGCGUCUUCCGCGCCGGACCGUGCACAAGUCUCCUGGAAUGGAGCGUCAUAGAGGGUGAGAAUCCCGUCUUUGGCACGGAUGCCUGUGCUUCUGUGAUGCGCUCUCGAAGAGUCGAGUUGUUUGGGAAUGCAGCUCAAAAUGGGUGGUGAACUCCAUCUAAAGCUAAAUAUUGGCGAGAGACCGAUAGCGAACAAGUACCGUGAGGGAAAGAUGAAAAGCACUUUGGAAAGAGAGUGAAACAGUACGUGAAAUUGUUGAAAGGGAAACGCUUGAAGUCAGUCGCGUCGACCGAGACUCAGCCUUGCCUUGGCUUGGUGUACUUCUCGGCCCGACGGGUCAGCGUCAAUUUUGCCCCUCGGAUAAUGGCAAGGGAAAGGUGGCACCUUCGCGGGUGUGUUAUAGUCUCCUGUCGCAUGCGAGGGGUGGGAUUGAGGAACUCAGCGUGCACCUUGGUGUCGGGGCUUCG